CCUACGGGUGGCAGCAGUGAGGAAUAUUGGUCAAUGGGCUUACGCCUGAACCAGCCAAGUCGCGUGAGGGAAGACUGCCCUAUGGGUUGUAAACCUCUUUUGUCAGGGAGCAACGCCGGCUACGUGUAGCCGGACUGAGAGUACCUGAAGAAAAAGCAUCGGCUAACUCGGUCCCUGCAGCCGCGGUAAUACGGAGGAUGCGAGCGUUAUCUGGUUUUAUUUGGUUUAAAGGGUGCGUAGGGGGUAGGCAAGUCAAGUGGGAAAAUCGCGGGCCUCAACCUCGCUCCGACGUUGAUACUGGCAUUCUUGAGUGGGCGAGAGGUAUGCGGAAUGCGUGGUGUAGCGGUGAAAUGCAUAGAUAUCACGCAGAACUCCGAUUGCGAAGGCAGCAUACCGGCGCCCAACUGACGCUGAGGCACGAAAGCGUGGGUAUCGAACAGGAUUAGAUACCCUAGUAGUC
rnacentral:rRNA from 1 species